rnacentral:rRNA from 1 species
AUUGAACGCUGGCGGCAGGCCUAACACAUGCAAGUCGAACGAGUGGCGGACGGGUGAGUAAUGUCUGGGACACUGCCUGGUGGAGGGGGAUAACUACUGGAAACGGUAGCUUAUACCGCAUACUCUCGGAUGUGCCCAGAUGGGAUUAGCUAGUAGGUGGGGUAAAGGCUCACCUAGGCGACGAUCCCUAGCUGGUCUGAGAGGAUGACCAGCCACACUGGAACUGAGACACGGUCCAGACUCCUACGGGAGGCAGCAGUGGGGAAUAUUGCACAAUGGGCGCAAGCCUGAUGCAGCCAUGCCGCGUGUAUGAAGAAGGCCUUCGGGUUGUAAAGUACUUUCAGCGGGGAGGCGUUACCCGCAGAAGAAGCACCGGCUAACUCCGUGCCAGCAGCCGCGGUAAUAC